UUCCGCAUUCCUAGUACGGCGAGUGAAGUGGGAAAAGCUUAACUUUGAAAUCUGGCUGUUUUACAGUCCGAGUUGUAGUCUCGAGAAGUGUUUUCCGCGUUAAACCGUGUAUGAGUCUGUUGGAACACAGCGUCAUAGAGGGUGAGAACCCCGUUCAUGACACGGCUUUUAAUGCUUUGUGAUACAUUUUCGAUGAGUCGAGUUGUUUGGGAAUGCAGCUCAAAUUGGGUGGUAAAUUCCAUCUAAAGCUAAAUAUUGGCGAGAGACCGAUAGCAAACAAGUACCGUGAGGGAAAGAUGAAAAGCACUUUGGAAAGAGAGUUAAAAGUACGUGAAAUUGUCGAAAGGGAAACGCUUGAAGUCAGACGUGCACGGGAUUUAUUCCUAUUGCAGGCCAACAUCGGUUUUACGAGCCGGAUAAAGGUACAAGGAAGGUAGCAGUUUCGGCUGUGUUAUAGCCUCGUACUGAAUACGGAUUGUGAGACCGAGGGACGCAGCGCGCCGCAAGGCAAAGGGUCCGCCCUUUUCGCGCUUAGGAUGUUGGUGAAAUGGCUUUAAUCGACCCGUCUUGACCAACGGACA
rnacentral:rRNA from 1 species